GGGGCCUUAGCUUAGCUGGUAGAGCGCACGAAUGGCAUUCGUGAGGUCACGAGUUCAAUCCUCGUAGGCUCCA
rnacentral:tRNA from 1 species